AUUAAAUUAGAGAAAAUUUCCCAAUUUAAGGGCUAUGUAAGAAAAACCCUUGUUUCUGAGUGGUGGUAAACCAACCCAGCUUACCUAAAGACUUAAUAGGUGAGAGACAAGGAGCAGAGCAGACACAGUUGAAGGGGUAACAUUGGUCUUUAAUGAGACUGUGCACUGUGAGAUUCUUCUGUAUUCUCAUCCUGAGCCAACAAAGCUGCACAACUCUCAUUCACAAGCAAAAGGCCUCAGAGCUGCCAACCGAACAGAGAAUUUCCAACACCUUCAAGCAGCAGAAGGGCCGUUUGAAGGCUACUAAAGAACUGCAUCUGGGAAACACUGUUGGGACAAAGUAAGAAAGCACCCCAGCCUACGCCAACACAGACAACUAUAGCCAGUGCCAGCAAGAAACUGAACACAAGUCUCUCACCUGAUCAGCUGGAGCCUGGAGAUGAAUUAUAACCCCAGAAGCAGAACUUGGCGCCCUUCUCUUCCAAGUUUCUUUCUCCCUGGUGAGUUUCUAUCGCUACCGAUAAUUUUUGAAACACAG
ensembl:lncRNA